CCUACGGGAUGCAGCAGUGCGGAAUAUUGGUCAAUGGCCGGAAGGCUGAACCAGCCAAGCCGCGUGAAGGACGAAGGUGCCAAGCAUUGUAAACUUCUUUUGUCAAGGGACACAAUCAGGCUCGAGAGCCUGACCGAGGGUACUUGAAGAAAAAGCAUCGGCUAACUCCGUGCCAGCAGCCGCGGUAAUACGGAGGAUGCGAGCGUUAUCCGGAUUUAUGGGGUUUAAAGGGUGCGUAGGGGGACUGUUAAGUCAGGGGUAAAAGCCCGGGGCUCAACCCCGGCGAGCCGUUGAUACUGGCUGUCUUGAGAUGUCGAGAGGUAUGCGGAAUGCGCAGUGUAGCGGUGAAAUGCUUAGAUAUUGCGCAGAACUCCGAUUGCGAAGGCAGCAUACCGGCGGCGAUCUGACGCUGAGGCACGAAAGCGUGGGUAUCGAACAGGAUUAGAUACCCGAGUAGUC
rnacentral:rRNA from 1 species